UUAGGUUUUACGCUUUAUUCGAUUGAACGAGAAAAAGUACUCGUCGCAAAGUUAUACUGUUAUGGCGCAACUGAGUAGUCUAAUGUAGUUCCGGUUUUGAUUCUUGUGAACGUUGACAUCGAUUCGUUCCAAAUUUACACUCUCAGGGCAUAAUAGAAAGCUUUUACUCCGUGUUCGAUAGAAUAAGAAAAAGUACUCGUCGCAAAGUUAUACUGUUAUGGCGCAACUGAGUUGUCUAAUGUUGUUCCGAUUUUGGUUCUUGUAAACGUUGACAUCGAUUCGUUCCAAAUUAAAACUCUCGGGGUAUAAUAGAACAAUAUAAUUAGGUUUUGCGCUUAGUUCGAUUGAAUGAAAAAAAAUGCUAGUUGCAAAGUUAUACUGUUAGGGCUCAACUGAGUAGUCUAACGUUGUUCCGGUUUUGGUUCUUGUGAACGUUGACAUCGAUUCGUUCCAAAUUUACACUCUCAAGGCAUAAUAGAACAAUAUAACUAGGUUAUACUCUUUGUUCGAUUGAAUGGGAAAAAGUACUAGUUGCAAUGUUAUACUGUUAGGGCUUAACUGAGUUGUCUAACGUUGUUCCGAUUUUGGUUCUUCUGAACGUUGACAUCGAUUCGUUCCAAAUUUACACUCUCGGGAAAUAAUAGAAAGCUUUUGCUCCUUGUUCGAUAGAUUGAGAAAAAGUACUCAUUACAAAGUUAUACUGUUAUGGCGCAGCAGAGUAGUCUAAUGUUGUGCCGGUUUUGGUUCUUGUGAACGUUGACAUUGACUAGUUCCAAAUUUAUACUCUCGCGGCAUAAUAGAACAAUAUUAUUAGGUUUUACGCCUUAUUCGAUUGAACGAGAAAAAGUACUCGUCGCAAAGUUAUACUAUUAUGGCGAACUGAGUAGUCUAAUGUAGUUCCGGUUUUCGUUCUUAUGAACGUUGACAUCGAUUCGUUCCAAAUUUACACUCUCGGGGCAUAAUAGAACAAUAUAAUUAGGUUUUACUCUUUAUUCAAUUGAAUGAGAAAGAGUACUCGUUUCAAAGUUAUACUGUUAUGGCGCAACUGAGUCGUCUAAUUUAGUUCCGGUUUUGGUUCUUGUGAACUUUGACAUCGAUUGGUUCCAAAUUUACACUUACGGGGCAUAAUAGAACAAUAUAAUUAGGUUUUGCUCUUUGUUCGAUUAAAUGAGAAAAAGCUCUAGUUGCAAAAUUAUUGUUAGGGCUCAAUUGAGUAGUCUAACGUUCUUCCGGUUUUGCUUCUUGUGAAUGUUGACAUCGUUUCGUUCCAAAUUUACACACUCGGGGCAUUCUCGGGGCAUAAUAGAAAGCUUUUACUUCUUGUUCGAUGGAAUGAGAAAAAGUCCUCGUUGCAAAGUUAUAAUGUUAUGGCGCAACAGAGUAGUCUAAUGUUGUUUCGGUUUUGGUUCUUGUGAACGUUGACAUCGAUUAGUUCCAAAUUUACACUCUCGGGGCAUAAUAGAACAAUAUUAUUAGGUUUUACGCUUUAUUCGAUUGAACUAGAAAAUGUACUCGUCGCAAAGUCAUACUGGUAUGGCGCAACUGAGUAGUCUAAUGUAGUUCCGGUUUUGGUUCUUGUGAACGUUGACAUUAAUUCGUUCCAAAUUUACAUUCUCGGGGCAUUAUAGAAAGCUUUUCCUCCUUGUUCGAUAGAAUGAGAAAAAGUACUCGUUACAAAGUUAUACUGUUAUGGCGCAACAGAGUAGUCUAAUGUUGUAUCGGUUUUGGUUCCGGUGAACGUUGACAUCGAUUUGUUCCAACUUUACAUUCUCGGGGCGUAAUAGAACAAUAUAAUUAGGUUUUACUCUUUAUUCGAUUGAAUGAGAAAAAGUACUCGUUGCAAAGUUAUACUGUUAUGGCGCAACUGAGUAGUCUAAUUUAGUUCCGGUUUUGGUUCUUGUGAACUUUGACAUCGAUUCGUUCCAAAUUUACACUCUCGGNNN
rnacentral:lncRNA from 1 species